CCUACGGGUGGCAGCAGUGGGGGAUAUUGCACAAUGGGGGGAACCCUGAUGCAGCGACGCCGCGUGGGUGAAGAAGCGCCUCGGCGCGUAAAGCCCUGUCAGCAGGGAAGAAAAUGACGGUACCUGAAUAAGAAGCACCGGCUAACUACGUGCCAGCAGCCGCGGUAGUACGUAGGGGGCGAGCGUUAUCCGGAUUGACUGGGUGUAAUGGGGGCGCAGACGGCGUUGCAAGUCAGUAGUGAAAGCCCGGGGCCCAACCGCGGGACUGCUCCUGGAACUGUGGGGCUUGAGUGCAGGAGGGGCAGGCGGAAUUCCUGGUGUAGCGGUGAAAUGCGUAGAUAUCAGGAGGAACACCGGUGGCGAAGGCGGCCUGCUGGACUGUAACUGACGUUGAGGCACGAAAGCGUGGGGAGCAAACAGGAUUAGAUACCCGGGUAGUC
rnacentral:rRNA from 1 species